CUCUUUCAAUACAUAUGUCAUUUGGCAUGAAUCACAUGAUAAGAAUAUCAUAGAUCAUCCAAUAAAGAUUUUUAGGUGCCUAUAUCGGCGGUGUCUACCUCUUCCCAUUCCGAACAGAGCAGUCAAGCCCGCCAGAGCCGAUGGUAUUGCCGUAACAGGUGGGAGAGUAGGUCGGUGCCUUUU
rnacentral:rRNA from 1 species